rnacentral:rRNA from 1 species
GACGUAGGGCGCGAGCGUUGUCCGGAUUUAUUGGGCGUAAAGAGCUUGUAGGCGGUUUGUCGCGUCUGCUGUGAAAUUUCGGGGCUCAACCCCGAACUUGCAGUGGGUACGGGCAGACUAGAGUGUGGUAGGGGAGACUGGAAUUCCUGGUGUAGCGGUGAAAUGCGCAGAUAUCAGGAGGAACACCGAUGGCGAAGGCAGGUCUCUGGGCCAUAACUGACGCUGAGAAGCGAAAGCAUGGGGAGCGAACAGG